UACAGAGGUGGCAAGCGUUGUUCGGAAUUACUGGGCGUAAAGGGCGCGUAGGCGGCUUGGUCAGUCCCGUGUGAAAUCCCUCGGCUUAACUGAGGACGUGCGGAAGAAACUGCAAGGCUCGAGUCCGGGAGAGGAGCGCGGAAUUCCCGGUGUAGCGGUGAAAUGCGUAGAGAUCGGGAGGAAGGCCGGUGGCGAAGGCGGCGCUCUGGAGCGGCCCUGACACUGAGGCUCGAAAGCGUGGGGAGCAAACAGG
rnacentral:rRNA from 1 species